ensembl:snRNA U6 U6 spliceosomal RNA
GUGCUCAGUUCAACAGCACAUAUCUUAACAUUGGAACAAUACAGAGAUUAGCAUGGCCAUUGCACAAGGAUGGCAUGCCAAUUUAUGAAGUGGUGCACUCUCCC